UGUGAGGUAGUUCCCAAUUCUUCUUGGCUGCUGUGUUAAGUAUGAAAUUGAUGUUCUUGUCAUGCUCGUAACAUGGAAAUCUACCAAGCAAGCUGCCUUGUUGUUAUACCGGAGACAGGGAAAGAAAGAGACAAUAGUGAAGGUUGAUAACCCAUCCAGACUGACUACUGAUGAAAUUCUGCUCCUUUUUUUCCAGUUAUUGUCAGGCACAUAGACGGGUGUAGGGUCAGGGAGUUUACUGGACUGGGAGACAUGGCCUAGGAAAUCCACUGCAAGCGCUGCCAUUCAUAUAACAUGGCUCAUGCAGUUUCAUUGUGUAUUCUUUGGGUUUCAAUGUUAAUUUUGUAACUACGGUGAGUUGACAAUUAACUUUCAAAAUCAAGGCCAAAAUUGCAAACUGUGUUAGAAAUCUCUAUUUUGGCAUACAUUUUGCAAGUUAUCUAUCAACUCUCUCAAUGUUUAGUAAAUAAUACAAUCUCACAC